rnacentral:rRNA from 1 species
CCUACGGGGAGCAGCAGUGAGGAAUAUUGGUCAAUGGACGAGAGUCUGAACCAGCCAAGUAGCGUGAAGGAUGACUGCCCUAUGGGUUGUAAACUUCUUUUAUAUGGGAAUAAAAUGUUCCACGUGUGGGAUUUUGUAUGUACCAUAUGAAUAAGGAUCGGCUAACUCCGUGCCAGCAGCCGCAGUAAUACGGAGGAUCCGAGCGUUAUCCGGAUUUAUUGGGUUUAAAGGGAGCGUAGGUGGAUUGUUAAGUCAGUUGUGAAAGUUUGCGGCUCAACCGUAAAAUUGCAGUUGAAACUGGCAGUCUUGAGUACAGUAGAGGUGGGCGGAAUUCGUGGUGUAGCGGUGAAAUGCUUAGAUAUCACGAAGAACUCCGAUUGCGAAGGCAGUUCACUGGACUGCAACUGACACUGAGGCUCGAAAGUGUGGGUAUCAAACAGGAUUAGAUACCCCUGUAGUC